AGAGGUCCCAAGCGUUGUUCGGAUUCACUGGGCGUAAAGGGGUGCGAUAGGUGGUCGGGUAAGUCUGAUGUGAAAUCUCGGAGCUACAACUCCGGAAACGGCAUUCGGAUACUAUUCGGCUUGAGGGUUGGAGGGGGGACUGGAAUUCUCGGUGUAGCAGUGAAAUGCGUAGAUAUCGAGAGGAACACCAGUGGCGAAGGCGAGUCCCUGGACAACUCCUGACACUAAGGCACGAAAGCUAGGGGGAGCAAACAGG
rnacentral:rRNA from 1 species